UGUGGAGGCUAUAUACAGGUGUUACGGUACAGAGUCAAUGUGCGGGGGUCCGGUGUCGAGAUCUGAAACCUGAAACCAGGAUGCCACAGGAGUAGGCUUACUGAGUCAUGAUGACAGGCAGAUUUAAAAGGGGGAGUAUGUGGCACGUGAGCCACAGAACCAGAGAGCCGUGCAGAGCCUAGCUCAGAGUCAGCAGCACCAGCAGGCCAUAUCUCAGUACCUCAACACAGAACCUUCCUACUCUUCACUGCACUCACUGUCGACCCAGGAUCCAUUACCGCAGGCCUACCUUAGGCCGGUGUAAUUAAAAAAAUAAAACAUUAAAUAUACCUUUAUUUCACUAGGCAAGUUAGUUAAAGAACAAAUUCUUAUUUACAAUGACUACCUACUCCGGCCAAACCCGGACGACACUGGGCCAAUUGUGCGCCGCCCUACUGGACUCCCAAUCACGGCCGGAUGUGAUACAGUCUGCAUGCUUAUCAAGUGUAUAAGGGAGCUAGCUUUGAGGUUUUAUAUUUAUCUAUUCAAGUGUAUAAAUCAGAUACUGUACAUGUGCAGUGAAGAAACUCACCUUGUUCAUGACUCUACUAAACAUCUAUGUGUCUUUAAUGAUUAUGCAGUGAUUCUGUGUAAGAUUAGGUUUGAUAUCCUGUUCCGUUGGGGCUGAGAGGAGAGCACAGGUAGUAGGUAAACUCUUAGAAAAAGAGUUCCGAACGGGUUCUUCGGCUGUCCCCAUAGGAGAACCCUUUUUGUUUCCAAGUAGAAAGAACCCUUUUUGCUUCCAUGUAGAACCCUCUGGAACCAAAAAGGGUUCUUCAAAGGGUACUCAUACGGAGACAGUCGAAUAAUCCUUUUAGGUUCUAGGUAGAACCCUUUUGGUUCCAGGUAGAACCCUUUUGGUUCCAGGAAGAGCCCUUUUGGUUCCAGGGAGAACCCUUUUCCUUCCAGGUAGAACCCUUUUGGUUCCAGGGA